rnacentral:rRNA from 1 species
UACGUAGGGGGCGAGCGUUGUCCGGAUUUAUUGGGCGUAAAGAGCUCGUAGGCGGUUCGAUAAGUCGGAUGUGAAAUCUCCACGCUCAACGUGGAGGGGCCAUUCGAUACUGUCGUGACUCGAGUCCGGUAGGGGAGUGUGGAAUUCCCGGUGUAGCGGUGAAAUGCGCAGAUAUCAGGAGGAACACCGAUUGCGAAGGCAGCUCGCUGGGACGUUACUGACGCUGAGACGCGAAAGCGUGGGGAGCAAACAGG